rnacentral:rRNA from 1 species
UGGGGAAUCUUGGACAAUGGGCGCAAGCCUGAUCCAGCCAUGCCGCGUGAGUGAUGAAGGCCCUAGGGUUGUAAAACUCUUUCGUGGGGGACGAUAAUGACGGUACCCCAAGAAGAAGCUCCGGCUAACUUCGUGCCAGCAGCCGCGGUAAUACGAAGGGGGCUAGCGUUGUUCGGAUUUACUGGGCGUAAAGCGCGUGUAGGCGGGCUGGAAAGUUGGGGGUGAAAUCCCGAGGCUCAACCUCGGAACUGCCUCCAAAACUUCCAGCCUGGACUCAAGUAGAGGCAAGUGGAAUUGCGAGUGUAGAGGUGAAAUUCGUAGAUAUUCGCAGGAACACCAGUGGCGAAGGCGACUUGCUGGACUUGUAGUGACGCUGAGACGCGAAAGCGUGGGGAGCAAACAGGAUUAGAUACCCUUGUAGUCCCUGAGCGGGCUGGCAAGGCGCAU